rnacentral:rRNA from 1 species
GUGGGGAAUCUUGCGCAAUGGGCGAAAGCCUGACGCAGCCAUGCCGCGUGAAUGAUGAAGGUCUUAGGAUUGUAAAAUUCUUUCACCGGGGACGAUAAUGACGGUACCCGGAGAAGAAGCCCCGGCUAACUUCGUGCCAGCAGCCGCGGUAAUACGAAGGGGGCUAGCGUUGCUCGGCAUUACUGGGCGUAAAGGGCGCGUAGGCGGACAGUUUAGUCAGAGGUGAAAGCCCAGGGCUCAACCUUGGAAUUGCCUUUGAUACUGGCUGUCUUGAGUACGGGAGAGGUGAGUGGAACUCCGAGUGUAGAGGUGAAAUUCGUAGAUAUUCGGAAGAACACCAGUGGCGAAGGCGACUCACUGGCCCGUUACUGACGCUGAGGCGCGAAAGCGUGGGGAGCAAACAGGAUCAGAAACCCUUGUAGUC